CAGUGGUUACGCAAUCAUAGAAGUAGAGAGAGAGAGAAGAAUUGGCAGCUUCGUAUAAACCUAAAGAAUUGGGUUGGAGUCAACGGCAUUCUGUGUGUCUUGAAUGUGAUUGACCUGCAUUGUGACACACACUUUUGGUUAACUCCUGCAUGGAUUCGGUUGUUGUGUGGUGACCACCUCCGAUGAAAGAAUUCCUGCUGCAGCUCUGACUCAUCCUGACCUAGCACCAGAUAAGGAAUGCACUAUUAAAGAGGUACAAGAGACUGCAGGUGCCAGAAACUGAAGCAAUGUGCAAAGCACUGGAGAAAUUCAGCAGGUUGAGCAGCAGCUAUAGAGGAAAAUCAACAAUCAGCAUCUUAGGUUGUGACCUUUCAUCUGGACUGGAAAGAAAGAGGGGAGAUGUAUAUAAAAAGAAGUGAAUAUUGGGAGUAACAACUGUUUCACUCUCCUUACACUUGUGUACAGGAAAUAAUAUUAAAGUAUUUUGAAUCUGGAACUUUUACCAGAACACAAGGGAGUCUGUAGAUGCUGGAAAUCCAGAGUAAUACACACAAACACUGAAAAGUUUCAGCCUGAACCAUUGACUCUAUUCCCUUCCAUAGAUGCUGUCUGAUCUGCUGAGUUCCUCCACCAUUUUGUGUGUGUUACUCCAUUUAUCCAAGUCUACAGUUUCCUCUGUUACAGCAGUUGCGACACUUUAAAACUAUCUGCUGAAAAGUGAAGUGGGAUGUCCUGAAAGAAAAUAGGACAGAAUCAUAUUAGGCUGGUUAUAGAUAAACUUUGUCCACAGAUCACAGUGAGGGUCAGAGGAAUGCAGUAUUGAUGCUAUAUAUUGUACAAGACCAUGUCCACAGAUCGUUGAUGAUAGUUGAAUGUUGAUGAUAUAUUGGAUAAUUUGUUGAAAGACAAUGAAGAGAUUAUGUUUGAACUGCAUAGAAUAUUAG